rnacentral:rRNA from 1 species
UCGUCAGCUCGUGUCGUGAGAUGUGGGGUUAAGUCCCGCAACGAGCGCAGCCCCUAUUCGUAGUAGCCAGCAUAUAAGGUGGGCACUCUAGGGAGACUGCCGUGGAUAACACGGAGGAAGGUGGGGGUGACGUCAAAUCAUCAUGCCCCUUAUGUUUAGGGCUACACACGUGCUACAAUGGCUACAACAAAGUGAAGCGAGACAGUGAUGUGGAGCAAAGCACAAAAAAGUAGUCCCAGUUCGGAUUGUAGUCUGCAACUCGACUACAUGAAGUUGGAAUCGCUAGUAAUCGCGAAUCAGAAUGUCGCGGUGAAUACGUUCCCGGGUCUUGUACACACCGCCCGUCACACCACGGGAGUUGGAAGCGCCCGAAGCCUGUGACCUAACCUUAGGGGAGGAGCAGUCGAAGGCGAAGCCAGUGACUGGGGUGAAGUCGUAACAAGGUAGCCGUA